rnacentral:rRNA from 1 species
AGCGAACGCUGGCGGCGUGCCUAACACAUGCAAGUCGAACGUGAAAUGGGGCAACCCAAAGUAAAGUGGCGUACGGGUGAGUAACGCGUAGGUAAUCUACCCCAGAAUCUGGAAUAACCUGCCGAAAGGCGGGCUAAUACUGGAUAGAGCGACGGGAUCCGUAAUUGGGUUUUUCGGGAAAGGGAGGGAGCAAUCCCCUUCGUUCUGGGAUGAGCCUGCGUCGCAUUAGCUAGUUGGCGGGGUAACGGCCACCAAGGCAUUGACGAGUAGCUGGUCUGAGAGGAUGAUCAGCCACACUGGAACUGAAACACGGUCCAGACUCCUACGGGAGGCAGCAGUGGGGAAUCUUGCGCAAUGGACGAAAGUCUGACGCAGCCACGCCGCGUGAGUGAAGAAGGCCUUCGGGUUGUAAAGCUCUGUCGGGCGGGACGAACAUCUUGGGAGUGAACAGCUCUUAGGACUGACGGUACCGCCAAAGGAAGCACCGGCUAACUUCGUGCCAGCAGCCGCCGCGG